AGGAGUCCAUGUCCUCGGCUGGCGAGCCUGUCUCCAAAACAGGCUGUGAUGGGUUCGAUGCCCAUGACUCCUGCCA
rnacentral:tRNA from 1 species